rnacentral:rRNA from 1 species
GACGAACGCUGGCGGCGUGCUUAACACAUGCAAGUCGAACGGAAAGGCCCUGCUUUUGUGGGGUGCUCGAGUGGCGAACGGGUGAGUAACACGUGAGUAACCUGCCCCUGACUUUGGGAUAACUUCAGGAAACUGGGGCUAAUAUCGGAUAGGAGCUCCUGCUGCAUGGUGGGGGUUGGAAAGUUUCGGCGGUUGGGGAUGGACUCGCGGCUUAUCAGCUUGUUUGUGUGGUAGUGGCUUACCAAGGCUUUGACGGGUAGCCGGCCUGAGAGCGUGACCGGCGACAAUGGGACUGAGAUACGGCCCAGACGCCUACGGGAGGCAGCGGUGGGGAAUCUUGCACAAUGGGCGCGAGCCUGAUGCAGCAACGCCGCGUGCGGAAUGACGGCCUUCGGGUUGUAAACCGCUUUCGCCUGAGACGAAGCGUGAGUGACGGUAAUGGGUAAAGAAGCACCGGCUAACUACGUG